rnacentral:rRNA from 1 species
GACCUAGCGGCGGACGGGUGAGUAAUGCUUAGGAAUCUGCCUAUUAGUGGGGGACAACAUUCCGAAAGGAAUGCUAAUACCGCAUACGCCCUACGGGGGAAAGCAGGGGAUCUUCGGACCUUGCGCUAAUAGAUGAGCCUAAGUCAGAUUAGCUAGUUGGUGGGGUAAAAGCCCACCAAGGCGACGA